rnacentral:rRNA from 1 species
AUUGAACGCUGGCGGCAGGCCUAACACAUGCAAGUCGAGCGGAGCGGCGGACGGGUGAGUAAUGCCUAGGAAUCUGCCUGGUAGUGGGGGAUAACGUCCGGAAACGGGCGCUAAUACCGCAUACUAUCAGAUGAGCCUAGGUCGGAUUAGCUAGUUGGUGGGGUAAAGUCCUAACAAGGCGACGAUCCUUAACUGGUCUGAGCGGAUGAUCAGUCAAACUGGAACUGAGACACGGGCCAGACUCCUACGGGAGGCAGAAGGGGGGAAUAGUGGACAAUGGGCGAAAGCCUGAUCCAGCCAGGCCGCGUGUUUGAAGAAGGUCUUCGGAUUGUAAAGCACUUUAAGUUGGGAGGCGUUACCAACAGAAUAAGCACCGGCUAACUUCGUGCCAGCAGCCGCGGUAAGUC